CUGCUGGUAAGCUCCGUUCGGACUCCUACGAGAGCCGGACUUCACCUUUAACUUUGAUUGCAGAGGACUCCGCCCGGACUCCUACGGGAGCCGGGCUCCGCCUCCGACAUCAACUGCAGCACAGCUUCGCCCGGACUCCUACGGAAGCCGGACUCCGCCUCCGACAUCAACUGCAGCACAGCUCCACCCGGACUCCUACGGGAGCCGGGCUCCGCCUCCGACAUCAACUGCAGCAUGGCUUCGCCCGGACUCCUACGGGAGCCGGGCUCCACCUCCGACAUCAACUGCAGCACAGCUCCGCCCGGACUCCUACGGGAGCCAGGCUCCGCUCUCAGUAUCAACUGCUGGUAGGCUCCGUCCGGACCCCUACGGGAGCCGGACUUCACCUCUAACUCUGGUUGCAGAGGACUCCGCCCGGACUCCUACGAGGGCCGGGUUCCGCCUGCAACUUCAGCUCCGAGAGGGUUCCGCCCGGACUCCCAUGGAAAUCAGACUCCACCC
rnacentral:lncRNA from 1 species